rnacentral:rRNA from 1 species
UAGGGAAUCUUCGGCAAUGGACGAAAGUCUGACCGAGCAACGCCGCGUGAGUGAAGAAGGUUUUCGGAUCGUAAAGCUCUGUUGUUAGAGAAGAAUGAUGGUGGGAGUGGAAAAUCCACCAUGUGACGGUAACUAACCAGAAAGGGACGGCUAACUACGUGCCAGCAGCCGCGGUAAUACGUAGGUCUCGAGCGUUGUCCGGAUUUAUUGGGCGUAAAGCGAGCGCAGGCGGUUUGAUAAGUCUGAAGUUAAAGGCCGUGGCUCAACCAUGGUUCGCUUUGGAAACUGUCAAACUUGAGUGCAGAAGGGGAGAGUGGAAUUCCAUGUGUAGCGGUGAAAUGCGUAGAUAUAUGGAGGAACACCGGUGGCGAAAGCGGCUCUCUGGUCUGUAACUGACGCUGAGGCUCGAAAGCGUGGGGAGCAAACAGGAUUAGAUACCCUGGUAGUCCACGCCGUAAACGAUGAGUGCUAGGUGUUAGACCCUUUCCGGGGUUUAGUGCCGUAGC